AGGUAUAAAAUACCCCCAGCUGAAGUUUGUAAAAGGCCGACCCUUUCAGGGCUUUUCCGACUUUCGACCUUAUGUGGCAUCUUUCUGAACCCCCUUGACCGUUCGAGCUUCGAUAAUACCAUUCAUACUUCUCUGACAAUGAGCUUCUCCAUUCAUUUACUGGAUUGCUCCAAAUGCCCUCUGAGCUCCGCUAUCAGCCGAUUGUCUAC
rnacentral:lncRNA from 1 species